GGCGCGGUGGUGCAAUUGGCAGAUACGCCAGGCUUAGACCCUGGAUGUUGUGAGUUCGAAUCUCACCCGCGCUACCA
rnacentral:tRNA from 1 species